rnacentral:ncRNA from 2 species
GGUAGAAUGUUGUUUGUUGGUGCUCGCUGCGCAGUUCAUGUGCGGCAGUUCAACGGGAAGCUGGAGGGAGUUGGCCGCUUGAGGCCCGGUCCUAACCAGCGCUGCCCCCGCAACGGUAAGCGGACGAGCCAUUCUGGCUCCGCUUUCAUCUCCCAGCCACUGGGCGCCGCAGGCGCCUGGGAAGGCGAUGAAGGUUGUCUCCGCCAGCCCGGAUACCGGCCAACGAAGUGGCCGCGCU